GGGGAUUUAGCUCAGUGGUAGAGAGCGCUUGCCUAGGAAGCGCAAGGCCCUGGGUUCAGUCCCCA
rnacentral:tRNA from 1 species